rnacentral:lncRNA from 1 species
GCUCAGGGGAGCUGGGCAGCUCCUCCUCCUCUGAGGACGACGACGACUCCUCAGUUGCAGGGGCCGCCCCUCCCUGAGACACGGCCAGCUCCUCAGGCUCAGUCUUGGGGGUCAGGAGGGCACCUCCAGCCCCCUUCUCAGGGGCCUCCUCCUCUGGGCGGCCAGACUGAUGGGUGCUCUGUGAGGGAGGCGGGAAUGGCUGCGGGGAGCACUCGACUCUGCCAAAGCCCUCGUGACCCCGGCCCGGGUCAGCCCAGCGCACCACAUGCCCAGCCUCUGCCCUGUACCUUGAGAUGCUCCAGCAUGGUCCUUUUCUGGGCAAAGAGCAGGGGGCAAGACGGGCACUUGAAGACACUGACGCGCUGGGGCAGCAAGUGCUGGUCGAAGUGUGAGGAGAGCAGGGGUUUGUGCGUGAAGACGGUGUCACACAUGGCGCACUUGUAGAUCAGCUUCGCUUGCUGCGUGAGGAAGGUCAGAUGCUGGGAGUAGACGUGGGCGUGGGCGCUGGGUGCAGACUUGAAGGCCGUGGGGCAGAUGGGGCACUUGUGGAAAACUUCGCAGUGUGACGUCUGGAUGUGGGACUUAAUGGAGUUCACACCCCCGAACACCACUGCGCAGCUGGGACACCUGGGGAGAGCGCGGUGCUGUGGUGGGGCACCCCCGCCCACUCCCCAGCCCACUUGUCCCCAAGGCUGGGGUGGACACGGACCAGAAGCGGCCGGGGGAGCAUGGGCAGCAGGACAAAGGAGGGCACUGCGCAGGCCCGGUGCCCCGAGCAGGCCUGUGGGGCAGAGCUGGAGCCCCGACCGCCCUGCUCUCACUCCCACGGGGACGUGGCAGGCAGGGAGGGCCUCCCAGGGCCGAGGCUGCCAGCGCCACAGGACGUCGGGACACAGGAAGGCCAGGCUCCACUCCUCUCCGCUCCUCUCCUCAAAAGGCUGGUGCCAAGAUGUGACCCUCGGGUUCCACUGGGCAGAGCAGGGCAGGGAGAUGACGCACCUGUAUCCCACGCGCCGAGAGAAAUGCAGACAGGCUUCCCGCAGGAUGUCUUAAUGGUCUUGAUCCGCACCUUGAGGGGCCGAGAGGAGUUGGAGGAGGCAGGGGAGUCGUUGCUGUCCUCAUCUGCAGCCUCGGCACCACUAGAGGGACUCUGGGGACUUCGAGGGGGAGACUUGACCACCAGCCCCUCAUCUUCCUUCAGGUACCCUCACUGGAAGGAGCUGGGGAGGGUGGGGCUCCUGGAAGGGAUGGUUCACAGACCCCAAAUCCAUUCGGCAUCAGAGAAGCCCCUGAAGCAUCUUCCUUGGUUACUCCCCCAGCCUGGGCCCCUUCCCCUCCUGCACCCCCAGCCAGGGUCUCAGACUGCUCCGGACACACAGUGUUCUUCACGAUGACGCUGACUGUGGAAGUGUCUGGCACCGGCAGGCCGUGCUCAGAGGUAUGGCCUGGAACCUCGGGGUCAUCCUCAGCUGCUGCUGCUGUGCCUUCAGUUUCUCCUCCCACACUGGGCUCUGGCUUCCCCGGGCCUCCGGGCCCCUCACUUUCUUCUGGCCCAGAGUGUAUAGCUUCAUUUGCAUCGAUGUCAGGGAUGUCAAAGGCAGCAAGGAGGUCAUCAAAAUCAGGGGUCUUCAUGUCCCCCAUAGCGGCAGGUCCCAGACCUGAUGAAAACAGGAAGAAAAAGGAGAAACUGAGAAGCCUGGAUGAGAUCCUGGACCUCCUCCCUCAGAACCUGUCUAUCCCCUCCAGCCGGGUACACCUCGGCUGGACUGGGUCCUGAGGAGCUGCUGCAGGGGCUGGCGUCCCACACCAGCAAGCCACAGGAACCCAGCAAAUGCAAAGGAAGACACUCGGGCUGGGGAUGUAGCUCGGCAGCCCAGCACCUGCCUGGCAAGCGCAAGGCCCUGAACUCAUUUCUCAGUACCAAAAAAAAAGGAAAACACUGCACAGACACAGAAAAGAGUAACAGGGGCAGAAGGGCUCGGGGACAUCUUAGUUGAAACCAGCACAUCCAUUCCUGUGCCCAGCACAGAGCCAAUCAAUCAAUACCAAUAUUAAGGAGGAAGAUGAAUACAAUGCCAUAGGUCAAACACUCAUGCGUGCAUGGGAUUGAUUCAUACUCUUCAUGGGUCUUCUGGGGUCCACAGAAAUCCAACAGGCCAUCUGUACAAAGGGGCAGCGACUUGCACCAAGACUUAAGAAACUCUUUCAGCUUAUCUUUACAGUAGGCCUGCUGUAUACACAAGUAUUUCUGCCUUUUGCUGUGUGAAAGAGGGAACAGGCAAUUCAUGUAUCACAGGGCUAUUCUGGGCAUCAUAUGAAAUUGCAAACAUGAGGGCUGGACCCAGAAUACACUUUACUAUUACAGCUGGGCCAAACAAAGCACUUGAGGUGAAGAAGGAGUGGACGCUAGGGCUGGGGUCAGAGACAUGAGCCAAGGUCCUGUCAGGUCAGCGGGGUCACCUAGGGCCACCACUGGCACUGAGAGAUCUAGCUGAGUCGGCAGGAAGAAAUGGACUUGGGGGGAUCACGUUAGCGACCAAGACAGGAAGAAUAAAACACAGGGACAGAAAGAGACAAAGAGGAGAGACAAGGGAAAGCAGCGAUAGCAACCUGGCCACUAGGGCCCAGCCUGGGCCACGCCCAUCACAAACACCUGCUGCUCGCUCACCUCCUUCCCUGGAGCACCACAUCCCCUGCCCUCCUGGCCCUUGGGGCCACAACUCCAGGGCACAGCCACCACAUGGGCAGAAGCUGGCUCUGCACCCACCCCUUGGUCCCUGUCAGUUCUUCUCUGAGUUCCUCACACUAGUCUGUUCCCUAACUGCAGUUCCUCAGCUUUUCAAUAUUCUUUAGCAGUGGCAACCCCAGGAGUCUCACGAAACCCCAAUCCUCUGCAGUGCGAAAGUCCCACAUGAUUUACAUAGCGCUGAACCAACUCGGAAGCUAGCUCAGAGUCUGUGAGAGCCAGGUCUACCCCUACCAGACCCUCCCCGUAAGUGUUUCUGCACCUAGGAGGAGCAACGCAAGCAGCCUCUAUCCUUACACAUGCCCUGCCCAAGAUGCAAGCAUUUCCCGGGGCCAAUUCUCUCACCUCCUUUCAGCCCUCAGGCUGUAACUGGAAACAGUCCCAGCAGGUGGCAGCUGGCACUGCUUGGACCAAGCGGGGGACCCCAACUAGAGGAAGAAAGGGGAGUCUUUCUCGAACCCUGCUCCCUGCUUAAUUCUCCAAACUGAGUUUAAACAAAGCCCUUGCUUUUGGCCUACCGAAUCCCUAAGGCCCUCUUGGGCCUGGCUCCCUCCUGCCCAGCACAGGGGUCUGGUGGUCAGGGACCAGUGUGGACUAGGCGAAAACACCUGCGAACUUGCCUCUGGAACCACCUCCUCCUCCGGCGCGCAAAUGACUUAGAGGUCACCCGAGAGCCACCUGAAGCAGGCAGGCGACCGUGCAGCGAGCUCAAGGCCGAGGAGGCGACCCCCGUGCAAAGCCCAGGCCUUUCUGCGGCUGCAGUGCCCGGUCUCCUGGGCUCCCCUCUGCCCCCGCCUCCUUUUCCCUCUGUUCUUCCCCCCAAACCGAAGGAAGGGGCUCAAGUAGAAGAGAGUGAAGGGACCCGGGUAGGGCGGGGGCUCCACUGCCCUUUGCCCGGGCCCAGGGCCUGCUGCGCAAAGGAGGGCGAGGGGCCGGCGCCCGGCCGGGGGCGAUUAGGUUGCGGCCAAGCUGGGCAGCGGGCGGAAUUAAGUCCCUACCAUCUGCCGAGGAAUAGCGCGGAAGCAAGUCCGGGGCUGUGGGGAGGGGGCGGGAUGUACACAAGAGAAGCCAAAGGGGAAACUGAGGCGAGCGCCGCUUCCCUCGCUCCCGCCGACCGCGAAGCGAGGGACGGGCCUGGCCAGGCCCCAGGCCCUCCGGGAGCAGCGCAGCACCUCGAGGCCCAGAGCACUGGCGGGGGGGAGGGA